rnacentral:tRNA from 1 species
AAAGAAGUGGCGCAGUUGGUAGCGCACAUGGCCGGAAACCAUGAUGUCGCGGGUUCAAAUCCCGCCUUC